rnacentral:lncRNA from 1 species
UUUGUUUUGUGUUUUUGUAUCCUCUACCUCGCUUGUGCAUUUUUAAUCCAAUUACUUAUAAAAAAACACUAAAAUUUAUAAGGCAUAAAUUAUUAAAACAUUAUCACGUUGUCAUGAGAUCCUUUUAUUGUUUUCUUUAAAGUUUUCACCUUUAGAUUUUCCCUUCUAAAGAUCUGAAUAUUUAUUAUUGAAAUCUCCUAGCUUAUUGGAAUCAAAACAAACAUGAUCUUUAGUAUGGUUGAGUGACUUCCUCUUAAUUAGAAAAGUCAAAUCUUC